rnacentral:piRNA from 1 species
UACUACAGAGAUGACGAAGCACCA